ensembl:lncRNA
UUCUGGCAGGAAGAUAUCAAGUUUGGUGCAAGUGCUGUCAAAAUAAAAUCUGUCAGAGGUUCAAUGCAGAGAAGUGUGCACCGAGCGGAAAGAGCCGGAGCUCCGAGAUGUUACGAAUCGGCGGAGAUCUCCGAGAUUCUCCGGAGAAAACGGACCGUUUCUGUUGCAUAUGGAUCCAUGAGGGGGUCCGUCGCUGCCCGGGAGCGGCGGCGGAUUCUUUACAAGAAUCCCCACAACGCACUCGAAGAACUCAAAAGAACCAAGAUCUUCGACACUUCGUUUUCCUUUGUCACUAAUAAAUCCUUAAACGCAUCUCGUUGACGGUGUGGUCCUUGCUAGUGAAAUCUAUGUGGUCCUAUGUCCUGAAGUUCCAAUGUCUCAAGGGUCGUAUGUUCCUAUGGUUCUAGGUUCCCAGGCUCCUGUGUUACCCAGAUGUACAAGGCACAUAUGUCCCCUAUGUCCCUAGGGUCCAACAUUUCCAUGUUUCUACAUUCUUAGGGUCCAAUGUUCCUAGGAUCAUAUGUCCUGAAGUUCCAAUGUUCCUAGGAUCAUAUAUCCUGAAGUUCCAAUGUCUCUAGGGUCUUAUGUUCCUAUGGUUCUAGGUUCCCAGGCUCCUGUGUUACCCAGAUCUACAUGACACAUAAUAUGUCCCCUAUGUCCCUAGGUUCAAAAGUUCCCAUGUUUCUUUGUUCUUAGGGUCCCAUGUCCUGAAGGUGCAAUGUUUCGAGGAUCGUAUGUUCCUAUGGUUCUAGGUUCCCAGGCUCCUGUGUUACCCAGAUCGACAUGGCACAUAUGUCCCCUAUGUUCUUAUGUCCUUAGGGUCCAAUGUUCACAUGUUCCUAUGUAUCUCGUAUCCAAUGUUCCAAUGUUCACAUGUUCCUAGGGUCCUAUGUCCCAAGGUUCCAAUGUUCCUAGGGUUGUAUGUUUUUGGGUUUCUAGGUUACCAUGGUCCUAUGUUAAGCGCUUGGAUAAAUGUUAGGGUGUGUUAACAACAUAUUGCUGAAUACGGACUGUGCCAACAAAAGACGAUGGGACGUUAAGACUCUGUGGCAUAGCUGUUGAGGAGAGAGCUUUUCUGGAGGGAUGCAUGCAUCACAGACUUUACUACUUGUUUAAUCACACUAUUUUAAAAUAUCAAACCAUAAUCGCAUCCUAAUGGAAUCGUGUCAUAUCAGUCUUGAAUUACAGUGUAUUGCAUUUGGGAUUGUGGAUUGUAUGUCAUAUCUCUCCCUCACAGAUGAUUUGAUCUGCACCCCCGUAACGAGUUUCUGAAGGGAGUCCAACAAAAUGAACAUCUUCAAAAGAUUGAAGGAGUUUGAUUGACGAUCACAAAGCUUCGAUAACUUUUCGAGGCCGAUGCCCUUUAAGGUGUUUGUUUUUAUCACAUUGUUUUCUUCAUGUAUCACGAAGUACAAUAAUGUCAGAGCCCCGGUGGAUUUGGUUCAGCAGCAAAUCCAACUCACCUCAAGAAAAACACAAAAAUCUCUUACCCUCUGUUUGCUCUUUUUCUUUUCUUCCUCGUCUCCUCUGCAGUGACUCAUCCAUCUAUAGACACAUAUUUUCACAACUCGGGGUGAAACUCACAUUUUUACACACCUCUUCCAGUCACAGCUAACAGCCGAGGUGUCAGAUUCCGCUUUAUUUUCCCUCACUGAAGUUGCAUCUUUUUCAAGUGUGAGAGUUGGCCUUGGUGUAAGUUCCCACUACUGUGCAGGAAGAAAGGGGAGAAUAAAAACUUGCGUGUUUCUAGAAAAGACUCGCUCACGUUGCCCCGUUAAUGAUGAAAACGACAGCACACGACGCACAUGAAUAGGGAAGCAGUCUUAUUUAUUUAUGACUCUAUAGUGUAUUUCUUAUUCAUUUAGUUUCAGGAUGUGACUGUAGGUUCAAAGAGCCCUCAUUUGAAAUGCUCCUUUGGAAGUGUUUACUCCCUUUUUAAGCUCGGCUUCUGAACAGUUCCUAUCUCUGGCAGUCAGACAGUGGUGCUUUUUAGUUUGCUCAUUUGUGCCUUUAUCAAGAGGAACGCCAACAGUGCUGAUGACAUGAAAUCGAUAAGGAAACUUUUGAAAGAACGCGCUUCAUUGACCAGAGACGAAACAUAAACUGCGGGGCAAUCACAAGAAAUAGGUCUGCUUUGUGAUUUAAGAUAAAAUGUAAGAUUUUUGGUGCGUUUAUAUGGAGAUUUCUAAUGAAUAGUCUAUUUUUGAUGGGAAGAGGAUAUAAUUGGAUUUGUGCAUGUAAGAAAAAUAAGUAAGAGGACGCACAGUGUGUAAUUUCUGCUGGUAGGGGACUCUGAGGCAAAAAAGACAUUUGCUGAGGUGAGUGGGGAGGGCCAAGCCGUGGGGUGGAGGGGAGAAUCGUGCAGACCUUCCGGAGGAAUAAACACCUGGAUCUGAGAGCAUUCACCGAAGGCGGGAGCGCUCAGAGAUUACUCUCUAACUUUCGGGAUUUAAAAAGUGGAUUCAUCUUCACUCCUGUUUAUCACCCUGACUGCAGCAGUGAUCGGUGGAGGUGACAUCCGUUGUCGGGUAUUUACUUUCAGUAACUGUUGACUGUUUACCGGAGCUGGUUUUAAUGGAAGAUUUACAUUUUGAAGACAGAUCUUAUAAAGGUAUUUUUGUUUUUUAAUUCUAUAAACUUUCUAUGUCCUACAUUACUUCGUCUGCUUGUAAAUCAAACUUACUUUCUGCCCUUUUUUUAAUUUUUUUGAGCUUGUGGAUCUUUUACACAUCACCUGCUGUAGAUGUUGGUUGUAACUCACUCACAUCUGCUCCAACCAGACUAUUUUACUACUAAAUGUAUGUGAAAGCGUAGAUGUGUGUCAGAGCUUACAUAUAGUAUACACUCAGCAAUGUUCAGAUGGCAACUUUGACAGGACACAUGUUGCGGUGCCUCUGUAAUUAGCAAAACAGAGCUAAUUAGAAGGGGAUAAAAAUAACUGUGGAAUAGCGCCUCCCCUUUUCUGUUUCCCAUGUGCAAAGCCAACGUGGUAAUCAUCUCAAGUCUUGUGUUCUCAGCUGCAAAAACAAAUGGGCGUAAGUGUUUUAGCCACCUAUCUGUGUAACGUCACGCUUCAGAUAUUUAAUUGCACACAUCUUGGCUGAUUUUCUCCAUCAGCACUGAAAAUAAGAGGUUGAUCAUGCUGGUAUGGAGAGCUAUAAGGUAGAGUUCAGAGGCAAACUGGCCAUCUGGACCACUGGGACUUUCACAGCAGGCUGUAAGAUGUGCUGGCUGGCAGCGAGUCCAGCAACAUUGAUGCAAGAAGAUGAAAAAGCUGCAGGCUCUUUGGUAUUCCUGCUGAGGAAUGAAGAAUUCCAGCAAAUAAAUCCAAAUAAAUAAGAUGAAAUCGACGAAGGAAGAAUGACAUCAGUCCUCCCCGGACACAUUUUCCCCCACUAAAUUUUUUCUAGCGCUUUAAAGAUUUUUGUGGAGAGUUGGGAACCCUUAUCUCAAGAUUUGCAUGUACUGUUAUCUGCAAAUGUGAAUUCAGAUUAGCAGGUGGACUGAGAUUUGUGAAGGUGCACAAAAAUCGACCAAACAAAGAUGCCUUUCUUUCAGCAUGGCAUCCAAGGUUGAAAGACGUGUGCGUUUCCACAUCACCUGCAACAUCAAUCUGUCAGUUUCAGAGUUGUUACUGCUAUUUUAUUAAAUACGCUGAGGUGCACAUAAAGGUAAAUGAAGUGUGACAGUGCACAAUAAAUGUCUACUACAGAGGUCACAUUCAGUUGUGAACAGUCCAACACUGUGCCCUUCAUCCAAUAUUAUUUAAAUUUUUCAAUAAAGUCCAAAUAUGCAGCCAAAUUGUCUGUAACUUGUCCUUUUUCCUGAAUAUUUAAAGGGCAACUCCACCAGUUUAACACAUCAAAGAGUAUUUGCAGCUCUUGGCGAGUAAAUCUACAUAUUAAAAAAAAAGAAAAAGAAAAAAAGAAGGAUAAAGCAUUUUGUGGCUCCAGAGGAAGCUGCAUGUAAUCUUACAAACUCCUCCAUUGAUGUCACUCAGAGGCAGAGUUGCAUCAUGGGUAAAUGUAGGUGCCUGGUUUUUGAAAAGCACUGUUGGACUCGUCAUUGUCAGCUUAAAAACAAAUCACCAAAAUCGACACAACAGAACCAAAGAUAUCCCCUUUUUUUUCUCCACAUGUUCAUCUUCCUUUUUCAAAACCUGGCGCCUACAUUACCCACAAUGCAACUAAG